rnacentral:tRNA from 1 species
UCCCUUGUGGCUCAGCUGGUAAAGCAUCUGCCUGCAAUGCGGGAGACCUGGGUUCGAACCCUGGGUUGGGAA